ACUUUAUAAAUUUCGAAAUACAAAAAAGAAAAAGGGCCCGGUCCAAUGAACCAACAUUCAGGGUCGGGUAAACCGAGAGUCCGCGAUUUCCGCGUUUCGUCGGUUUUGGAUCCAGUUUCCUUUGCAAAAUAGGAAGGGAAACCCGCUUGAUAAAAUUAUUUCAAUCCCCCUUUUAAACAAGAAAGAAAAGAUUUUAGGGUUUAAACCAAUUCCUAAAAUCACUCGUAAUUGGCACCCAAAUUUUGAAUAAUUAUCCUCCUAACGAUCAGAUUUUCGCAGCCAUGACUGAGUAUUGGGUGAGUCAGGGGAAUAAAUGGUGUGAUUUCUGCAAAAUUUACAUAUCGAAUAACCCGUCAAGUAUUCGAAACCAUGAGCUUGGUCAACGGCACAAAGAAAAUGUUGCUAAGAGGCUUACUACUAUGCGAAAAGAGAGCGCAGCCAAAGAGAAGGAACAAAAGGAAGCUGCUCGCGCUCUCGAACAGAUUGAAACUAAAGCUAAGCGGAGUUAUCAGAAGGACGUUGCUAGUUUUGCGGCAAGAGAUUCUAAUGAUCAAGAAUUAGAUGGUCAAGAAGACUGGGACUACGACAGUAGUUCAGGUUAUUACUACAAUCAAAGCAAUGGGUUAUACUAUGAUCCAAAGUCAGGCUUUUACUAUUCUGAUGCUAUAGGCAGGUGGGUGACGCGGGAAGAGGCAUACUCCAAGGCUCAAGCUUCAUCAAAUCCUAAAUCAAGAGAUCCUAGCUUGAAAAGGCCAUUUCCAACUUCGGUGGUGGACCCAGUUGCAGAUAGCAAAAGUGCUAUUAAAAGUCAAAAGGAGACUGCACCUGGGCCUGUCAUUUCAGCUUCUUUAAAUCCCAUGAGAUCUGUUAAAGGUGCUCCAUCCUCACUUGCGGUUAAGAGGAAAAGACAAGAUGAGAAGCCCAAGGCUAUAUCUAAAGAAGAGGUAGCUGCACUCAAAGCAAGGGAAGCAGCAAAGAAGAGAGUUGAAGAGAGAGAGAAACCAUUACUUGGCCUGUACAAUGGAUCUCGCUGAUUGACAGUGGCUCAAGCAAGCAUCUUGCCUCUUCUUGAUUCAAGGGCACUAGCGGCUAAUAAAUUGUGCUUCAGCAGAAAAAACACUGAGAUCAGCUCCCUGGGCCUUAGAUUUUUGUGUGAGAAGAAUGGGAUGGAAAGAAAGUGAUCAUUGAUUUCUUCAACAUGAUACUGAGAACAUGACAUAGCAGGUCACAGAUUUAUUGCAUAGCAUGUAUGCUGUAUGGCUGCGUAAAGAAUGAACCAAUAUGGUAGCUUUCAUUACAUCCCUUUUAUUGUAGAAUAUUGAUCUUAAUAGGAGCUUGUGUUGUGUUAAAAGUCUUUAAUCUCUGCAAGUGUUUGUGAUCUAUUGAGGAAUUUUAUCAAUUUCUUCUUAAUUGAUAGAAAGUCCAGUGAUUUGAAAUUUGCAACUAUAGUACAAUCGUGUACAUGUAAUAUUCAUGCCUUCUAUCUACUUUUGCUUUUAUUUUGGAGUUUAAGUUAUGCCUUUAUUUCAAAUUUGGUGAAAUUUUUUUAGACAUUAACCUAGAAAGUUUGAGUCGGAUUAUUGUAUGUAUGGUUCUUGGGAUUUAAGUUUCCAUGUAGUUUUUGUUCGAAAGACAGUGUAGAACCUCACUCAAGAUUAUGACAUUUAGUGCCAUCUAAACAUUAGCAAAUACAUGAAUGAGGUUCCGUAUUCCCUUAAAGACCGGAGUUAAGUAUGUUGCUUUUGGAAAAAUAGUAGAUACUGUGUGGUCCCUAUUACUGGAAAAUGGGUGAAAAAGAUUGUGAUUAAGCAGAGGAUAGUUGUGUAUCUUAUUCAGGGCCAUUGGAAAAGGAAGAAAACCAGAAUGGAGAUCCUGGCUAGCCAGAUGGUUGUGAUUCACAGGAACCCUAACCUGACCGGAUUGCUGAUGAAUGAUGUUUUCUGCUGCUUCAGUAUGCUGUUGGGCUUAUGUUACCUGGCCGGCAGUCAUGUGGCAUGGCAUUGGCUUCUCAAUUCAAGGCACUAAUAGCAAUAGAAUGUGAAAACAUCAUUUCUGUUUCUCCCAGCGUCUACAAAGUGGCGAUUGCUCUUUCAAAACGUGCCCUCUCCGUCAGUCUUAUCCGCGAGCAAUUGAGCCGUAAAUGAACGUUGUUUCUGCUUCUUCGACCGUUAAUAAAGUUGAGCGUCGACAAAGUAACAAAGUAAAUGCAGUAACCAUACUGCUCUUUUUGCUUGACCCUUUUAAAAUAUUUUGGCUCGUAAAGCCUUCAAAUUAACACUGAAAAAACGUUUGUGACGAUGAAAGUUUUUACUGCAACCCCCCCAGCCUAUAAUA